CACGGAGUUAGCCGGUGCUUAUUCGUAUAGUACCUUCAGCUACUCUCACGAGAGUAGGUUUAUCCCUAUACAAAAGAAGUUUACAAUCCAUAGGACCUUAAUCCUUCACGCGGGAUGGCUGGAUCAGGCUCUCACCCAUUGUCCAAUAUUCCUCACUGCUGCCUCCCGUAGGAGUCUGGUCCGUGUCUCAGUACCAGUGUGGGGGAUCACCCUCUCAGGCCCCCUAAAGAUCAUGGACUUGGUAGGCCGUUACCCUACCAACUAUCUAAUCUUGCGCGUGCCCAUCUCUAUCCACCGGAGUUUUCAAUAUUAAGUGAUGCCACUCAAUAUAUUAUGGGGUAUUAAUCUUCCUUUCGAAAGGCUAUCCCCCAGAUAAAGGCAGGUUGCACACGUGUUCCGCACCCGUGCGCCGCUCUCAAGUAUCCGAAGAUACUCUACCGCUCGGCUUGCAUGUGUUAGGCCUCCCGCUAGCGUUCAUCCUGAGCCAGGAUCAAACUC
rnacentral:rRNA from 1 species